rfam:Biomphalaria glabrata isolate BB02 unplaced genomic scaffold LGTN_random_Scaffold1987, whole genome shotgun sequence.
GUGGCUGAGCGGUAAAGCGCUUGGCUUCCAAACCAAGGUCCCAGGUUCGAAUCCUGGC